AGCUUUAUCAGCAAUCACGGGACGAAGCUAUGGACGCGGUUUGACUGUGAUGAAACAUUGAGUGACGUUGAAUAAAUAUUUCAUAUAUUAUCACAUCUUCGCGUAUGUAUGUAGUAUACAUGUGAUAAUGAUUAUUUAGUUAUCCUCCGCUGGCCUUUAACUGUGAUAUGAUUUAUGAUGAUAUACUGAUAUCAGACGUACAAUUAGAAUGAUGCAAUUACUAUGGAAUUGCCUGAUAAAAAGAAUUAUCUUGGACAAUAAAUCUUUCUUAUCAUAUUUGGCUGAGCUCAUGAUUACUAGGGGACGAUCAUCAGCCUACUGAUGAACGAACCUGAGCAACGGAUAUUUCAAAAACCGUUUAGAAAAAGAACUUUAUAUCAAGUUGGUCUCUAUGUAUGUGAUUACUUAUAACUUGUUACUGUGAUUUUUACUAUUAUAAUUAUUACCUUUUA